rnacentral:RNase_P_RNA from 1 species
AGAGUUGGUGAGGUAGUUGCAAGUUAAGAUUUUCCUGUGACCUUAACUUGAGGAAAGUCCGGGCUUCCAAAAGAUCAAACUUGCUGGGUAACCCCCAGUGCGCGUGAGCGUGAGGAUAGUGCCACAGAAAAAUACCGCCUAAUCUUUGGUUAGGUAAGGGUGCAAAGGUGCGGUAAGGGCGCACCAGCAGUGUCGAGAGGCGCUGGCUCGGUAAACCCCGGUGGGAAGCAAGGUCGAAGGAAUGACGGUUGAUCUUUUACCGAUUCCGCUUCUGGUGUACCGCUUGAGGUGUUUGGUAACAAACAUCCUAGAUAGAUAACUGCCCCUUGAUUUUAUCAAGGAACAGAACCCGGCUUACGUCCAACUCUUUUU